AGAGUUUGAUUCUGGCUCAGAACGAACGCUGGCAGCGUGGAUUAGGCAUGCAAGUCGAACGGUUGUUCUUUGUGUAGCAAUACAUGGAGGGCGAUAGUGGCGAAAGGGCGAGUAACGCGUGGGCAAUCUGCCUCCAAUGUUGGGAUAACCUGCCGAAAGGCGGGCUAAUACCAAAUGUGGUUACUGUUCGCAUGAACGGAGGACUAAAGACGGGGACCCUUCGGGGCCUGUCGCUUGGAGAGGAGCCCGCGUCCUAUCAGCUUGUUGGUGAGGUAACGGCCCACCAAGGCUAAGACGGGUAGCUGGUCUGAGAGGAUGGUCAGCCGCACUGGGACUGAGACACUGCCCAGACUCCUACGGGAGGCUGCAGUCGAGGAUCUUCUGCAAUGGGCGCAAGCCUGACAGAGCGACGCUGCGUGGAGGAUGAAGGCCUUCGGGUUGUAAACUCCUGUCAUCUGGGAAUAAUAGCCGGGGCAUUAAUACUGCCUCGGAAUGACGGUACCGGAAGAGGAAGCCACGGCUAACUCUGUGCCAGCAGCCGCGGUAAUACAGAGGCGGCAAGCGUUGUUCGGAUUUACUGGGCGUAAAGGGUGCGUAGGUGGUCCCGUAUGUCGGACGUGAAAUCCCGUCGCUCAACGACGGAACGGCAUUCGAAACUGCGGGGCUAGAGUGCAGGAGGGGAGAGCGGAAUUCUCGGUGUAGCGGUGAAAUGCGUUGAUAUCGAGAGGAACACCGGCGGCGAAGGCGGCUCUCUGGAAUGCAACUGACACUGAGGCACGAAAGUCAGGGGAGCAAACAGGUUUAGAUACCCUGGUAGUCCUGACCUUAAGCGGUGUGCACUUGGUGUGGGAGGAAUUAACCCCUUCCGUGCCGAAGCUAACGCGUUAAGUGCACCGCCUGGGGAGUACGGCCGCAAGGCUAAAACUCAAAGAAAUUGACGGGGGCCCGCACAAGCGGAGGAGCAUGUGGCUUAAUUCGAUGCAACGCGAAGAACCUUACCAGGACUUGACAUGCAACUGCAUAUCCUGCGAAAGCAGGGUAGCCUUCGAGGGUGUUGCACAGGUGCUGCAUGGCUGUCGUCAGUUCGUGCCGUGAGGUGUUGGGUUAAGUCCCGCAACGAACGCAACCCCUGUGUCUAGUUGCCACUCCCGAUGAUGAGUCGGGAAGCACUCUAGACAGACUGCUCUAUAAUGGGAGGAAGGUGGGGAUGACGUCAAGUCAGUAUGGCCCUUACGUCCUGGGCUGCACACGUGCUACAAUGGCCGGUACAGAGGGAAGCAAGACCGCGAGGUGGAGCAAAUCCUAAAAACCGGUCCCAGUUCGGAUUGAAGGCUGCAACUCGCCUUCAUGAAGUUGGAUUCGCUAGUAAUGGCGCAUCAGCUACGGCGCCGUGAAUACGUUCCCGGGCCUUGUACACACCGCCCGUCGCAUCAUGAAAGCCGUCUGCACCCGAAGUUGCCUUUGCCAACUCGCAAGAGGGGCGGGUACCUAAGGUGUGG
rnacentral:rRNA from 1 species